rnacentral:rRNA from 1 species
UACGUAGGGGCCGAGCGUUGUCCGGAGUUACUGGGCGUAAAGCGUGCGCAGGCGGCGCGUUCUGCCCGGCGUGAAAGCCCCCGGCUCAACCGGGGAGGGUCGUCGGGGACGGGCGCGCUUGAGGGUAUCAGGGGCUGGUGGAAUUCCCGGUGUAGUGGUGAAAUGCGUAGAGAUCGGGAGGAACACCUGUGGCGAAGGCGGCCAGCUGGGAUACACCUGACGCUGAGGCACGAAGGCGUGGGGAGCGAACGGG